UCAACAGUUUCUAUCUCAUCAGUUUCCUCUUUCCACUUUCUUGUUAAAGCUUUGCUUUUUGUCCUCCCACAGCACAGCCUGGGUGUCAGUGGAGAGGGAAAGCCAUACAAAUCAUGAUACAGACAAACAAGUGGCAGCCCGAGAGGAACUAGACUCUGAGUCAUUCCAUACAGCCACAUCAGUCUCCUCUUGAGUCACCUUUAACAAGAUACUCCUGAAGGGUUCAACAGAGAAGAUGCAGAGGGUAUUUUCCUCCAGGAUGUCUUCAGGAGCAUCCAGAAUUUCUGAAGAAAAUCUCGAUGACAACCUUGAAAUAUCAAAGCAUCUGAAGAGGAUACUGGUGGACAAGUUUGUCCCUGACUUGAAUACUGAAGAUUUGAUGAUGAUCAAGCAGGCCAUGGUUUAUCUUGAGAGGCACACCCACCCGCCUAGCCUGGGACAACAACAACUGAAAUGAAAACUAGACACAAU